GAUGAACGCUGGCGGCGUGCCUAACACAUGCAAGUCGAGCGAUUCUCUUCGGAGAAGAGCGGCGGACGGGUGAGUAACGCGUGGGUAACCUGCCCUGUACACACGGAUAACAUACCGAAAGGUAUGCUAAUACGAGAUAAUAUACUUUUAUCGCAUGGUAGAAGUAUCAAAGCUUUUGCGGUACAGGAUGGACCCGCGUGUGAUUAGCUAGUUGGUAAGGUAACGGCUUACCAAGGCGACGAUCAGUAGCCGACCUGAGAGGGUGAUCGGCCACAUUGGAACUGAGACACGGUCCAAACUCCUACGGGAGGCAGCAGUGGGGAAUAUUGCACAAUGGGCGAAAGCCUGAUGCAGCAACGCCGCGUGAGCGAUGAAGGCCUUCGGGUCGUAAAGCUCUGUCCUCAAGGAAGAUAAUGACGGUACUUGAGGAGGAAGCCCCGGCUAACUACGUGCCAGCCGCCGCGGUAA
rnacentral:rRNA from 1 species